rnacentral:rRNA from 1 species
GACGAACGCUGGCGGCGUGCCUAAUACAUGCAAGUUGAGCGAUGAAGAUUGGUGCUUGCACCCAUUUGAAGAGCAGCGAACGGGUGAGUAACGCGUGGGGAAUCUGCCUUUGAGCGGGGGACAACAUUUGGAAACGAAUGCUAAUACCGCAUAACAACUUUAAACAUAAGUUUUAAGUUUGAAAGAUGCAAUUGCAUCACUCAAAGAUGAUCCCGCGUUGUAUUAGCUAGUUGGUGAGGUAAAGGCUCACCAAGGCGAUGAUACAUAGCCGACCUGAGAGGGUGAUCGGCCACAUUGGGACUGAGACACGGCCCAAACUCCUACGGGAGGCAGCAGUAGGGAAUCUUCGGAAAUGGACGAAAGUCUGACCGAGCAACGCCGCGUGAGUGAAGAAGGUUUUCGGAGCGUAAAACUCUGUUGGUAGAGAAGGACGUUGGUGAGAGUGGAAAGCUCAUCAAGUGACGGUAACUACCCAGAAAGGGACGGCUAACUACGUG